UUACGGCCAUUUCGUGUUGAAGCAGCAGUUCCCAUAUGAUUUCUGAAGUUAAGCAACAUUGAGAUUGGUCAGUACCUACAUGGGUGACUGUUUGUGAAUAGUAUGUGCUGAAAG